rnacentral:rRNA from 1 species
AACGAACGCUGGCGGCGUGCCUAACACAUGCAAGUCGUGCGAGAAAGUUCCUUCGGGAGCGAGUAAAGCGGCGCACGGGUGAGUAACACGUAGGUAACCUGCCCCCCAGUCUGGAACAACUAGAGGAAACUCUAGCUAAUGCCGGAUGAGACCACGAUCCCUUCGGGGGUUGCGGCCAAAGAUGGCCUCUACUUGUAAGCUAUCGCUGAGGGAUGGGCCUGCGGGCCAUUAGCUUGUUGGUGAGGUAACGGCUCACCAAGGCUGUGAUGGCUAGCUGGUCUGAGAGGAUGACCAGCCACACUGGGACUGAGA